CCUACGGGGGGCAGCAGUGGGGAAUAUUGCACAAUGGACGAGAGUCUGAACCAGCCAAGUAGCGUGAAGGAUGACUGCCCUAUGGGUUGUAAACUUCUUUUAUAUGGGAAUAAAAUGUUCCACGUGUGGGAUUUUGUAUGUACCAUAUGAAUAAGGAUCGGCUAACUCCGUGCCAGCAGCCGCGGUAAUACGGAGGAUCCGAGCGUUAUCCGGAUUUAUUGGGUUUAAAGGGAGCGUAGGUGGAUUGUUAAGUCAGUUGUGAAAGUUUGCGGCUCAACCGUAAAAUUGCAGUUGAAACUGGCAGUCUUGAGUACAGUAGAGGUGGGCGGAAUUCGUGGUGUAGCGGUGAAAUGCUUAGAUAUCACGAAGAACUCCGAUUGCGAAGGCAGUUCACUGGACUGCAACUGACACUGAGGCUCGAAAGUGUGGGUAUCAAACAGGAUUAGAUACCCUUGUAGUC
rnacentral:rRNA from 1 species